rnacentral:lncRNA from 10 species
AGGAAGGUAAUGGCUUCCGCUUUGUCCAUGGCUUAGAGUUGUUCUAAAAAUCAAAUAACAUGAUAAAUAAAUUUAAAAAAAAACAAGUAAGAUAACAAGGGCUGGUCCAGAUGUGGAGGAAGGGAACACCUGCACACUGUUGCUGGGAAUUUAAAUUAGUACAAGCAUUCAGGGAAACAGUAUGGAAGUCCCGCAAAAAAUUAAAAAUAGAAUUACCGUAUGAUCCAGCAAUUUCACUACUGGGUAUAUCUCCAAAGGAAAUGAAAUCCUUACCUUGAAGUGGUAUCUACACUCCCAUGUUCAUUGGAGCACUAUUCACAAUGGCCAAGAUAUGAAAACAAGCCAAGUGUCUGUCCAUGAAUGAAUGGCUACAGAAAGUGUGGUAUACAUAUAU